AGCGCAGUACAGUUCCCAGCCAGUGAGGCGAGGCAGAGAGUAAAUCACAAGCGCAGUACAGGUCCCAGCCCGUGCGGCGAGGCAGAGAGUAAAUCACAAGCGCAGUACAGGUCCCAGCCAGUGAGGCGAGGCAGAGAGUAAAUCACAAGCGCAGUACAGGUCCCAGCCCGUGCGGCGAGGCAGAGAGUAAAUCACAAGCGCAGUACAGGUCCCAGCCAGUGAGGCGAGGCAGAGAGUAAAUCACAAGCGCAGUACAGGUCCCAGCCAGUGAGGCGAGGCAGAGAGUAAAUCACAAGCGCAGUACAGGUCCCAGCCCGUGCGGCGAGGCAGAGAGUAAAUCACAAGCGCAGUACAGGUCCCAGCCCGUGCGGCGAGGCAGAGAGUAAAUCACAAGCGUAGUAUAGGUCCCAGCCCGUGCGGCGAGGCAGAGAGUAAAUCACAAGCGCAGUACAGGUCCCAGCCAGUGAGGCGAGGCAGAGAGUAAAUCACAAGCGCAGUACAGGUCCCA